rnacentral:rRNA from 1 species
ACAUGGCAACUCGAACGCAACCCUUAUGGUUGAUGGCGGACGGUGAUAACGCGUGAGAAUCUGCCUUCAGGUUCGGGACAACCCCUGGAAACGGGGGCUAAUACCGAAUGUGCGCAACGUGAAAGAUUUAUCGCCUGAAGAUGAGCUCGCGUCUGAUUAGCUAGUUGGUGAGGUAAAAGCUUACCAAGGCGACGAUCAGUAGCUGGUCUGAGAGGAUGACCAGCCACACUGGGACUGAGACACGGCCCAGACUCCUACGGGAGGCAGCAGUGGGGAAUUUUCCGCAAUGGGCGAAAGCCUGACGGAGCAAGACCGCGUGAGGGAGGAAGGCUCUUGGGUUGUAAACCUCUUUUCUCAGGGAAGAAUUCAAUGACGGUACCUGAGGAAUCAGCCUCGGCUAACUCCGUGCCAGCAGCCGCGGUAAUACGGAGGAGGCAAGCGUUAUCCGGAAUUAUUGGGGCGUAAAGCGUCCGCAGGUGGCACUUCAAGUCUGCCGUCAAAGACUGGGGCUUAACCCUGGAAAGGCGGUGGAAACUGAAGCGCUAGAGUGCGGUAGGGGUAGAGGGAAUUCCCGGUGUAGCGGUGAAAUGCGUAGAGAUCGGGAAGAACAUCGGUGGCGAAGCGCUCUACUGGACCGCACUGACACUCCAGGACGAAAGCUAGGGGAGCGAAUGGGAUUUAGAUACCCCAGUAGUCCUAGCCGUAA